UUUUUUGACGAGCCGUCGGCGUCAAAUGGGAAAGACGGCGACUCUCUUGUCAACGAGCGAGCGGAGAGAAAGAGAGACGAGAGAAAAAUGAGAGAGAAAGUUCCAGCGCGCCUCGGUUGGCUACCGUACGUCACGUGACACGUCGCUCUCUCAGCGGUUACCUCUCCAAGAAAAAGAGUGGAGGAGGCAGAGCGGCAGAGGCAGAGCCGCCACCGCGCCGGAGAGAGAGAAAGAGCCGAGAGAGCGGGUACUGCUGGUACGCCGGUACAUUCCAACGUGUUUCUUCGAUCUUUGUGCGUGCUUCUUCCAUGUCGGUUUGGUGCGCCAUUUUGUCUUUUUUUUGCGUGGCGUGCGAGUGCCUGUGCAACGCGCGUGUGUGCUUUGGAGCUGCAGCCUCAACUCGAGUGCACGUGUAAAGGUUCACAGGACAGGUCUGAAAGGUCAACGUCAAUCAUAUUUGGCCGUGGAUAUCACUGCAACUUUGGCACUCGACCAAGCGAGGUACAUUGGACAGAUCAACCGGACCAAAAGGCGGGGUAAAGGAAAAGGCAGCGGAAUAGGACCAAGGGUGCUCAGCCUUAUCAAAGCGCUUUGAAUAAUAAAUGUGCAAG